rnacentral:rRNA from 1 species
GGGGGGGGGGGGGGGGGGGGGGGGGGCGGGCGGGGCGGGCGGGGAGGGCCUGCGUGUUUGGGGUGCUGGGGUGGCGGGCGGGGCGGUGACCGGUGAGUAACGUGCCCUUGACUUUGGGGUGCCUUCCGGCAACUGGGGCUCAUCCCGGAUCUGCGCUCCUGCUGCGUUGUUGGGGUUGGCCAGUUUCGGCGGUUGUGGAUGGACUCGCGGGCUAUCACCGUGUUGGUGGGGUCGUGGAUUACCAAGGCUUUGCCGGUGAGCCGGCCUGAGAGGGGGACCGGCCAAAUUGGGACUGAGAUACGGCCCAGACUGCUACGGGAGGCAGCAGUGGGGAAUAUUGCACAAUGGGCGGAAGCCUGAUGCAGCAACGCCGCGUGCGGGAUGACGGCCUUCGGGUUGUAAACCGCUUUCGCCUGUGACGAAGCGUGAGUGACGGUAAUGGGUAAAGAAGCACCGGCUAACUACGUG